UGGACCAGUGAUGAGAUUGGAGGGUGUCUGAAUCAUCUAUUUUGAUUGAUGCCAUCUGUGACUCUGAGGUCCAUU
ensembl:snoRNA